rnacentral:piRNA from 1 species
UUUCAUGAUGUUGACUUCGCUACUAA